rnacentral:lncRNA from 1 species
CCGCCGAGGCAUUGAGCAUUUGACGUUCUAGUGGUAGGAGCCCUUUGUAGAAGUAUUGCAAAAGCAAUUCCUCCUUCAUCUGAUGCUGUGGACAAGAAGCAACAAGUGAUUUAAAUCGUUCAUAAUAUGUAGGAAAAGACUCACCUUCAUCUUGUUGAAUUCCACUUAUUUUUUUACGAAGAAGAAUGAUGCGAGAAGUUGGGAAAAAUUUCUCCAGAAACGCCCUCUUCAUACUCUCCCAAGAUGUAACUGUACUGGGAGCCAACUCGUAUAACCAAUCCUUGGCUUUGUCCAUUAAAGAGAAUGGUAAAGCCUUCAUCUUUAAAAUACUUCCGUCAACGGUAACCGGAGUCAUACUUGAGCACACCACUUCAAUUCUUUCAAAUGUUUGUUCGGAUCCUCCAUGGACAGCCCAUGGAACUUUGGAAUGUGGUGGAGCAAACUUGACUUUAACUCAAACUCUUCGGUUUUACCUUGAGCAGCCAUGGGAUAUUGGAUACACAAUGGUGCGGCAUUAUCCAAACC